GUUGUAUGGUUAAGUGACUAAGCGUACACGGUGGAUGCCUUGGCAGUCAGAGGCGAUGAAAGACGUAGUAACUUGCGAUAAGCCCAGAUUAGGUAGUAACAACCAUUUGAGUCUGGGAUUUCUGAAUGGGGAAACCCACGUGCAUAAGCACGUAUCGUUAUGUGAAUACAUAGCAUAACGAGGCGAACCGGGGGAACUGAAACAUCUAAGUACCCCGAGGAAAAGAAAUCAACCGAGAUUCCGAAAGUAGCGGCGAGCGAAAUUGGACUAGCCCUUAAGCUUUACACGCGUUAGACGAACGGUCUGGAAAGUCCGACGAUACAGGGUGAUAGUCCCGUAGUUGACGACGUGUGUUCAGUGAAAUCGAGUAGGGCGGGACACGUGAUAUCCUGUCUGAAUAUGGGGGGACCAUCCUCCAAGGCUAAAUACUACUGACUGACCGAUAGUGAACCAGUACCGUGAGGGAAAGGCGAAAAGAACCCCUGUGAGGGGAGUGAAAUAGAACCUGAAACCGUGUACGUACAAGCAGUAGGAGCAGGCUUUGUCCUGUGACUGCGUACCUUUUGUAUAAUGGGUCAGCGACUUAUAUUCAGUGGCAAGGUUAACCAUCUAGGGGAGCCGUAGGGAAACCGAGUCUUAACUGGGCGUUCAGUCUCUGGAUAUAGACCCGAAACCAGGUGAUCUAGCCAUGGGCAGGUUGAAGGUUGAGUAACAUCAACUGGAGGACCGAACCGACUAAUGUUGAAAAAUUAGCGGAUGACUUGUGGCUAGGGGUGAAAGGCCAAUCAAACCUGGAGAUAGCUGGUUCUCCCCGAAAGCUAUUUAGGUAGCGCCUCGGACGAAUACUACUGGGGGUAGAGCACUGUUAAGGCUAGGGGGUCAUCCCGACUUACCAACCCUUUGCAAACUCCGAAUACCAGUAAGUACUAUCCGGGAGACACACGGCGGGUGCUAACGUCCGUCGUGGAGAGGGAAACAACCCAGACCGCCAGCUAAGGUCCCAAAUUACUACUAAGUGGGAAACGAUGUGGGAAGGCUCAGACAGCCAGGAUGUUGGCUUAGAAGCAGCCAUCAUUUAAAGAAAGCGUAAUAGCUCACUGGUCGAGUCGGCCUGCGCGGAAGAUGUAACGGGGCUAAGUAGUAAACCGAAGCUGCGGCAAUGUGCUUUUGCACAUUGGGUAGGGGAGCGUUCUGUAAGCGGUUGAAGGUGUGUGGUAACGCAUGCUGGACGUAUCAGAAGUGCGAAUGCUGACAUGAGUAACGAUAAAGGGGGUGAAAAACCUCCUCGCCGGAAGACCAAGGGUUCCUGUCCAACGUUAAUCGGGGCAGGGUAAGUCGACCCCUAAGGCGAGGCCGAAAGGCGUAGUCGAUGGGAAACGGGUUAAUAUUCCCGUACUUCUUACAAUUGCGAUGGGGGGACGGAGAAGGCUAGGUGGGCCUGGCGACGGUUGUCCAGGUUCAAGUGCGUAGGCUUAAGAGUUAGGUAAAUCCGGCUCUUU
rnacentral:rRNA from 1 species